GACAGAGGGUGCAAACGUUGCUCGGAAUUACUGGGCGUAAAGCGCAUGUAGGCGGGCAGGAAAGUCAGAUGUGAAAUCCCUGGGCUCAACCUAGGAACUGCAUUUGAAACUUCCUGCCUUGAGUAUUGAAGAGGAUUGCGGAAUUCCUGGUGUAGAGGUGAAAUUCGUAGAUAUCAGGAGGAACACCGGUGGCGAAGGCGGCAAUCUGGGCAAUUACUGACGCUGAGAUGCGAAAGCGUGGGGAGCAAACAGG
rnacentral:rRNA from 1 species